AGGGGUGUAGCUCAGCUGGUAGAGCACCGGUCUCCAAAACCGGGGGUCGCGGGUUCGAACCCUGCCGCCCCUGCCA
rnacentral:tRNA from 3 species